UACAGAGGGUGCAAGCGUUAAUCGGAAUUACUGGGCGUAAAGCGUGCGCAGGCGGUUUUGUAAGACCGAUGUGAAAUCCCCGGGCUUAACCUGGGAACUGCAUUGGUGACUGCAAGGCUUGAGUGUGUCAGAGGGAGGUGGAAUUCCGCGUGUAGCAGUGAAAUGCGUAGAUAUGCGGAGGAACACCGAUGGCGAAGGCAGCCUCCUGGGAUAACACUGACGCUCAUGCACGAAAGCGUGGGGAGCAAACAGG
rnacentral:rRNA from 1 species